AGAGUUUGAUCCUGGCUCAGGACGAACGCUGACGGUGUGCUUUAGGCAUGCAAGUCGAACGAGAAAGCCCUUCGGGGUUAGUAAAGUGGCGAACGGGUGAGUAACACGUGGGCAACCUGCCCCUCGCAGGGGGACAACCGGAGGAAACUCCGGCUAAUACCCCGUACGCUUGUUGGAUCGCAUGGUCCGGCAAGGAAAGGUAGCUUCGGCCAUCCGGCGAGGGAUGGGCCCGCGUUGCAUUAGCUAGUUGGUGGGGUAACGGCCCACCAAGGCAACGAUGCGUAGCUGGUCUGAGAGGAUGAUCAGCCACACUGGGACUGAGACACGGCCCAGACUCCUACGGGAGGCAGCAGCCAGGAAUCUUGGGCAAUGGGCGAAAGCCUGACCCAGCAACACCGUGUGGGUGACGAAGGCCUUAGGGUCGUAAAGCCCUGUUGAUAGGGACGAAGGGCGAAGGGUUAAUAGCCCCUAGCUUGACGGUACCUUUCGAGGAAGCCCCGGCUAACUACGUGCCAGCAGCCGCGGUAAUACGUAGGGGGCGAGCGUUGUGCGGAAUUAUUGGGCGUAAAGAGCGUGUAGGCGGUUCGGUAAGUCUGCUGUGAAAUCCUAGGGCUCACGCCUGGGCGUGCAGCGGAUACUGGCGGGGCUAGAGGUGGUAGAGGCGAGUGGAAUUCCUAUUGUACCGGUGAAAUGCGCAUAUAUUCGGAAGAGCCCCUUUANCNAGAGCNGCUUCGCUGGGCCACCCCUGACCCUGAAACCCAAAAACCGUGGGGAACCAACCGGGAUGAA
rnacentral:rRNA from 1 species